UAACCUGCCUGUAAGACUAGGAUAACUCCGGGAAACCGGGGCUAAUACUGGAUAACUUUUCUCUCCGCAUGGAGAGAGAUUGAAAGAUGGCUUCGGCUAUCACUUACAGAUGGACCCGCGGCGCAUUAGCUAGUUGGUGAGGUAACGGCUCACCAAGGCAACGAUGCGUAGCCGACCUGAGAGGGUGAUCGGCCACAUUGGGACUGAGACACGGCCCAAACUCCUACGGGAGGCAGCAGUAGGGAAUCUUCCGCAAUGGACGAAAGUCUGACGGAGCAACGCCGCGUGAGUGAAGAAGGUCUUCGGAUCGUAAAACUCUGUUGUUAGGGAAGAACAAGUAUCGUUCGAAUAGGGCGGUACCUUGACGGUACCUAACCAGAAAGCCACGGCUAACUACGUGCCAGCAGCCGCGGUAAUACGUAGGUGGCAAGCGUUGUCCGGAAUUAUUGGGCGUAAAGCGCGCGCAGGCGGUCUUUUAAGUCUGAUGUGAAAGCCCACGGCUCAACCGUGGAGGGUCAUUGGAAACUGGAAGACUUGAGUGCCGAAGAGGAGAGUGGAAUUCCACGUGUAGCGGUGAAAUGCGUAGAGAUGUGGAGGAACACCAGUGGGCGAAGGCGACUCUCCUGGUCUGUAACUGACGCUGAGGCGCGAAAGCGUGGGGAGCAAACAGGAUUAGAUANCCUGUUAGUCCACGCCGUAAACGAUGAGUGCUAAGUGUUAGAGGGUUUCCGCCCUUUAGUGCUGCAGCUAACGCAUUAAGCACUCCGCCUGGGGAGUACGA
rnacentral:rRNA from 1 species